UCUUGACUUUGCAAAAUAAAUGUCUUUUGUUAAAAUUACUUUUUCUCUCAUUUUCAGAAAGUUUGCAAUGCUUGCGAUACAGACCAGUGGUGCAUGUAACAGAGAAGGCUUCUCCAAUUUGUAUUUCUCUCAAGUCAAAAACUUGAGACUAUUCCUAAAGUCUUCUAUUAUUGCUUACUUCAGUUACCUCCUCCAUAGCUCAGAAUUUUCAUAGAAUCAUAGAAUAUAUAGCCAGUCUAUAUAUUUCUUCCCUUUUCUAAAGUAGUCUUUGAAAGACAGUUAUCCCCUUUCCUAUUUGCUGCAUUAAUGCUACUUCAUUUAUGUUCUCUUUGCUAUAUCACUUUACAAGAGGCAAAUAAUGCUAUUUUUUUCCUACUCUGCCCAAUCCAUCACACACUAUCUCCUGUGCCCAGAUUCAGGCAGGUCAGCAAAUAAAUACCUUUUGUGAGGUUUCCAUCUUCUGCUCAGCUUUCAUUAAAACGAAAGAGGUAAUGCCCUCAACAGCAGGGUUAAGAAGAAUACGUGAAUAUCAAUGAAGUCCAAGAACUUUUCUCUCAUGAGAAAAUGACUGAUUAAGAAUGCUCAUAUAGUAAGCAUGUUGAUACAGCAAUACGAAACAAACAUGUUUUCAUCUAGCCAGAAUUAGUGUUCUUCCCUGGUUUAGAUUAUGUUUCCUCAACAUAGCAUAGGUAGAUCACACAUAAUGCAGCAAUGUUUCCAUAAAUAAUUUCAAAGAGGUGUUAGCUAUCCUGCAUUGUUUGUGAGAAAAAAGACAAGCAUGUUGCCAAAGUUUUGCAUCACCAACUGUAAGUAAUCUUUCUUUGGGGCCACUGCUGAGAGAGAUUUUCUUUUGACAGUAGGAAUAUGAAAAAAACAGAGCAGACAAGGGGAGCUUUUGAGUUCAAUCUACAAUAUGCAGGAGGAAGGAGACUUUCCAGGAUAAGUAAGUGGAAAUUAAGGAAAAUGCUAAUGGAUUGCCAGCAUGGAACCUAUUGGCAAGUCUAUCUAAACAGAAGUGAAGGUUUUGGAGUGGCAGUGCUCCAGUGGCAGGUGGGAAAGAGAGCCUGAGCAUGUCUUCCCUGAGAAGGUGAGAAAGGUGAGCCAUCCAUCACUGUUGACCAAGUGUCUGAAAUGCAACUUACAGAAAACCUAUUUUUUCAGUUAGAAAAGGGUGAAGGGAAUUAACCUAUUCUCCAUCAAAGAUACAGGCAGGUGGAGAAUCAAGCAGUAUGUAUGCAGUUUAAAGGGAAAUAUAUCUUGUCAAAGUAAGCUGCAGUAGGUUAAUUCAUCACUAUAUCAGUGUAACUACUGUACUCAGAGAGAAGGGAGGGUUACAGGAAGGUCUUGGAUCAGUCAACUGCUUGGUAAAUUCUCUCCAAGGCCUGUUCGUCUGUUUUCAUUUUAGAUGAUGUUGAAACAUGGGCUGAAGAUAGGGAAAUACAUGGUUGCAUACAGCAGCAUGGUGUAUCUUGGGAAUGGGUUUAGAGGAUAUUUUUGGUGUGUACCUGGUUGUUCCUGCUUCAGAUUUCAGAGUAAGCUACACUGACCAUAGCUUAGUUGACCAUUUUGCUCGGAUCAGCCCCAUAUAAGUGCUGCCAGUCUUGCUUACUGGCCCUCACUGAGCACCAGGACCAAGGAAAAGCAGAUGAUGAUGAAAAGCCUCCUGCAUGGAUAACAGUGACUCAUCUCAUUUUCUUCUGCAAGAUUUUCUCUUUGGCUCUUAGUACCAGAUUUAAAGGUGAAAUACUUAACCUCUCUCUCAUACAUGUCCAAAGAUCUUGUUCUUCAAUUCUAAGCAAGUCUGAUACUGAUGGUGUGUUAUCCAUCAUUAACCAACUGUACGUGAACAGUUAUUUUUACAUGGUUAUUACAUCUUUGGUAAAAUAUUUGGUUGAGUAAGUAAGAAAACUAAGCAAAUAAAAUUAUGUUCUUCCAAAAUUUUCUGUUCUAAAUGUAAAGCUUUCCUUUUCUGCUUGUCCUAACUUUUGUCCUGAAGAACAAAUUUUUUGAAGUCAGACAAAAUAUAGCAAUUGUCCGAGUUCCAGUCAUAGGUGAAUUUAGGUACUGGGCUGUAAAACUUCAUUGUUCUUCUCUAAACAUUUUCAGUUGC